UACAGUCACACCAUCUUGAAACACCGGUUCUUGUACAAUCACUGAAGUUAAGCAACAUUGAGCCUGGUUAGCAUCUAGAUAGGUAACCACUUGAGAAUACAAGGUGCUGUAAG